rnacentral:rRNA from 1 species
CACGUAGGGUGCGAGCGUUGUCCGGAAUUAUUGGGCGUAAAGAGCUUGUAGGCGGUUUGUCGCGUCUGCUGUGAAAAUCCGGGGCUCAACCCCGGACUUGCAGUGGGUACGGGCAGACUAGAGUGUGGUAGGGGAGACUGGAAUUCCUGGUGUAGCGGUGAAAUGCGCAGAUAUCAGGAGGAACACCGAUGGCGAAGGCAGGUCUCUGGGCCACUACUGACGCUGAGAAGCGAAAGCAUGGGGAGCGAACAGG